GUAGGUACGCGGCGCUCCGCGUGCGGCGCUUGGCUUUGCUCGUUCUGCUCUGUAGGGAGGCAAGGGUUAAUGAAGGUGGCGAUGGGCGUCCCGCAGAGCCGUGUGCUGAGGAGCGGGAGUUGGAGGGCUGCGCGAGGAGCUCGGUCCUGCAGGGAGCCGUGGCAUCGCUCAGUGUUCCGUGCUGCUUUCUACGGGUCUUCAAUAAAAAGUUACCGUGGAUGCUUUCAAUAAACUCGGCUUGGCUCUUUUCACUCUUUUGCUUUCAGAUGGGUGAGCUUCAGUUGCGUCUCGCAGUCCGCGGGACCGCCAGAAGUUCCUGGUGGGCUGUGAGUGUUUAGGCCGCACCUCAGUGCUGUGCUCAGUGCUCAGUGCCUCACGCUCCUGCCUUCCAAUUAUGAGCUGAACUCAUUGCUCUUCCAAGACACGUCUGGGUAACUGAGUUUGGAUCCCAGCCGAGCCCGGGCUGUGGGAUUUGUUGUAGCAAAGCGCCACGCCUCUCAGAGAAGGAGGGAAAACCCUGCGCAGGGCUCCAUACCUAAAACUGACAAAAUAUAUGCAGCAAAGUAGUAGACUUCAAGGUAUAUAUAACUGAUAUAAUCAGUAAUAAGUGGUGGAUAGGGUGAACUGGUUGCACAGCCCGCAGGUUUACUUCUUUCUUACUUUUAG
ensembl:lncRNA